rnacentral:rRNA from 1 species
UGGGGAAUAUUGCACAAUGGGCGAAAGCCUGAUGCAGCAAUGCCGCGUGUGUGAAGAAGGCCUGCGGGUUGUAAAGCACUUUCAAUUGGGAAGAAAAGUCUAGGGUUAAUACCCCCGGACCUUGACGUUACCUUUAGAAGAAGCACCGGCUAACUCCGUGCCAGCAGCCGCGGUAAUACGGAGGGUGCAAGCGUUAAUCGGAAUUACUGGGCGUAAAGCGCGCGUAGGUGGUUAGUUAAGUCAGAUGUGAAAGCCCUGGGCUCAACCUGGGAAUUGCAUUUGAUACUGGCUGACUAGAGUAUGGUAGAGGGAAGUGGAAUUCCAGGUGUAGCGGUGAAAUGCGUAGAUAUCUGGAGGAACAUCAGUGGCGAAGGCGACUUCCUGGACCAAUACUGACACUGAGGUGCGAAAGCGUGGGUAGCAAACAGGAUUAGAUACCCUGGUAGUCCACGCCGUAAACGAUGUCAACUAGCCGUUGGGCUCAUUAUAAGGGUUUAGU